AGCGUUGGGUUGAUGUGGCCCGAGCAUGGGAACGGGAACAACAUCGCGUGCGCCCUCUUCUCAAUGGCCGUCGGCGCGCACAGUCGCACAUAGCUUCGAAUCGCAGCUACCGAGCUGAAUGGGUGGGCGCGCAGUGAUCCCGACGAAGUGCCGCCACCCCGCCCUGCCGCCGUCACCUCACCUCACCUCGCCCCGCCUUGCCACUGCCCCACCGUCGCCCCGCUGUCGCCCCGCCAUGCCUUAUCUGUGCCCUGCCGGCUCGGCCUGACAGUGUCUCACGGGUUAGGCCGUGGGCUGAGCCUCCGGCACGCGGACACGGCACGGCCCGGUUAGGUAGCCGGGCCUGACGAGCCAUGUCCAUGCCAGCCUGGCCCGUCAGACGCACUUGGCCAGCUCUGGUGCCACACUUCCACCUCCACCUCAGUCUCUUAUUCUUGCCAUAUCAGCGAAAUCCUAGGUGGUGGAGAGAGCAAGGAGAGAGGAUGUAGGUUGUCACAGCACCAUUGUUCAUGCCCUAAGCCUAUGGUCGCUGUUCUACCACUCCUUAUAUAUCCACACUCCAUAAUCCUAAUGCUUAACCCUAAUUAUUCAGUCUUUGUACUUCAUGGACAGUUAACUCAUGAUGAAUGAAGUUCAAAAUGUUCAAUUCUUAUUUACCCCCAUCACUUGAUCGAAAUGGCAUCUUACUUUCAGGAAUGACAUGCUUAGCAUGCUUGUUCAUCUUAUUCCUUUCUCACGGUUUCUAUGCUAUCUAGGGAUAGGGUGGGUGGUCCUCCAGCUGAGGACUAAGGUACUGCAGUUUAACGGUAUAAUACUGUUUCAUGCUAUUUGGGAAGGAAUGAGGAAGUACUUACUACUAGUAGGAGUCAAAGAAAAUUGAGACGAUAUUGAAAGUUUACUGUGUACUGUGUAUCAUCUGGGGUUCAGAGCCGUUUACUGUGUAUCAGCUUGGUUUGUAUCUUUGGAUAUGUUUAAACUUUGGGUCCAUCUUGAUUGAUUCCAACAGCACUGCAGGUUAGGAAGUUAAGGCAGAACUUUGUAAAUAGUUUAACAGCACUAGACUGCCAGUACAUGCCAACAUGACUACAAUUUCAAACCUAUGUCAAACUCACCCAUGCACAGACUUGUUACACUUUUCUGUUCUAAUCCAUUGCCGUUGCAAUGUUCUUCUGGUAAAUCUUAGCUACUGGUGUUCUCCUGGAAUGUGUACAAGUGUCUGUCCAUUCUCAUGAUUCAAGGUUACUGAUGCAUAGUUGCAUGCCAAUUACAAUGUUCUCUUUUACAAGGAAGAAUAUAGCUUAGCUUUCAAUUGUCGAACAUUGAAUUGUUCUGAUUGAUCAUAAAGAGAUCAUUUUCAUACUAUUAUUUAACGGAUCAUACUUGACUAGCGAGGGCUGGAAAUGGUUACAGGAUACCAGUAAAAGAAACAAAAACCUUCGCGCAAACUGGACAGACCAGACCAGACCGGACCAUUACAAAUAAUAAAUUAUACUAUUCUACAGCUUGGUUGCUCAUUGAUAAAGUGGGAGUCUAAUUAUGACUUGUGUCGGACAAACUCAAGUAAGGAUUGAAAGUUUAAGAAAAAGAAAGGUUUAAGAAACUAUGAAGCCUUGUCACCCUGCUUUUAUUUAUAUGCUAUGUGUUGCAGUCAAGUUGGAUCAACUACGAGUUUGGUCCUACAAGGGGUGGUGCCUUUCAAUGUAGUUUUGAACUACAAGAUUUUUCAACUUUUGGUUUGCUAGCAUUGUUUUUCGUUAUGCUGUUGUUUUGUGCUAUUAUGCUGUUGGUUGUGUCUUAAGUAUGCUAGUGGGUCGACCCAGAACUCCACUCAAGUACUUAAUUUAUUGAUAGCUCAUUUUGUACACAUGAGUCAUCGGGUCGACUCGAUCUGACCGCUUGCAUCCAUGAAUUGUGCUGUAAAGCAAUGUACAAGUAGAAUCUCUGCACCAUUUCCUUUAUGUGGUGUUAUUCUGAUUUAUUUGUUUUUUAGUAGCUGGUAUCUUCAAAUUUAGAUGAAUUCAUGCUAGCCAUUGGGUCAACUCAGGUGGUAUUUUCUUGUGCGACCAUUCCCUGACUUUUGAUAUGGUACUUAUUCUCUUGUGACCAAAUUGCUAGUCUCUUGUCAAAAUGCUAUCCUAUUUGGUUCCAUGUAUCUGAAUGUUUGGUGUAUGUGCCUCUAUUAUCUUUUGAUGAACAUGUCAUGAUGUUCUUUCAUUGGUGGGAUAAAUGAACUACCAUACUCCAUAUCCUAGAGAAAGAGGCCCAGUGACGUGGCUUGACAGGGAGGAGGCUCUAGGAGUAAGAAGAUUAUACAGACCAUGGAUAGUCUUUUAAUUCAAUUUUCUUGCUUAAUGAAACUGAUAACAGUAGCCUCCUUAUAUAUGGAUGAUAAUGCUAGAGCCUACACCUAUGAAAGAACAAUAGAGUAAUAACAGUACUGUUCACUGAGGCAUGAUGCACACUGCUGCAGCUUACGAACCGACCAUUUAUUUUGGAUGACAAGGCAGUAUAUUAAAACUAGGACUAGGCAAAUCUUUUAACACGAGGGAUGUAUAAGGUAUCAAAGAAGGAAACUAUAACUAGGCAUCCACCCCCACCUUGUAUGCUAAAGGUUAAUGCCUAUGAGAUGUUCCGUAUGAUCCAGUGAAUCAUUAGGAUUUAUAAAUUAUAAUGAAUGUCUGAAUCUUGUCGUGCCUAAUUGCCAGUGAUAUCAAGGGUUGUUAGGCUAAUUUUGGUACUGUAGAUCUAUAAUAGAAUAACUGGUGGACUAACAGAUUCAGUACAGAUAGGUGCGUGAAUAUGGUUGGCUUUGUAGCUCUGGGUUGUCUGAACACUUUUUGUGGCUUUCACCAGCACAAAAGAACUGUGCUUGCAAAAUCACUAUAAUUUUUUAGUCCACAAAGAUACAGGUACAAUAUACAGUUAUGCACUGCAAGUGGCAACACAUGAGCCCACAGCAGUGGAGAUAAAGAUGUCCGGUAAGGGCAUUGCAAAGGGGCCUAAGAUUCUUUCGUAAUCCAUCCCGUCUCUUCUACUUUUCCUGCUGUCUGGAAUUUAGGGAUGGUCCAAUGACAUAGACAUUUCCUUUGUCUCCAAUUCCAAGGCCUGAAAGCAUCAAGGUGUUUGUUAUUUGCAGAAGACAAAUGAGAAAUAACUACUUGGUUAUGGUUGAGUGCUGAAGGCGCUUCAAGUUUAUGCGGAUUUCCAUUUUCGGCAAGAAAACCGAUGCCACCUGCUGUUCAUCUUGACUUCCUUGAGAGCCUGAGGAUAUGGUUACCAGGACAGCUUGGAGAUAACUUUGAGGUUUGGCAACUGGUGCCAUCAUGUGCGUGUAAUUAUUAAUGGAUCUGGAUAAUGUUCUAUACCCGUGUAAAAAAAAAGUGUAGCGUUGAUUGCUUAGCUUUACAAGCUAACAAAAGGAUGACAAGUUGCCCCUCUUGUUUGUCACAGUCCUGCCACUAUUGGAACAAGACAGCAAUUUGGUACCCAACAGGCAUGAAGGCAUUGGCACAUGCUUUGCUUUCGCCAGUUCAAUGUUAGGUCAUAUUUUUCUCAUGGUGCUUGUAAAAUUUUUUUGAAGGGUUUAGAAGGAUCAGAAUUCAGCUAUAUGAUUUUUCUUUUGUGCCGUAG